rnacentral:rRNA from 1 species
ACUUGUUAAACCUAAAGGCGCAAUGAAAGUAAAGGUCCGCCUCGGCGCGGACCGAGGGAAGAUGGGCCCGUCCUCGGGCGGGCCCCGCACUCCCGGGGCGUCUCGUCCUCAUCGCGAGGAGAGGCGCACCCAGAGCGUACACGCUGGGACCCGAAAGAUGGUGAACUAUGCCUGGUCAGGACGAAGUCAGGGGAAACCCUGAUGGAGGUCCGUAGCGAUUCUGACGUGCAAAUCGAUCGUCGGAACUGGGUAUAGGGGCGAAAGACUAAUCGAACCAUCUAGUAGCUGGUUCCUUCCGA